GAAAUGUCCAUCAGUGAAUAUCCUCAUCUACUGCCCUGCAAGAGGUUUUAGUCCUGAUCAUACUGCACAUGCAGCAUCUCUACAGAAUGACUGAGGAUGCUUCAUCGUUUCACAGCUCCUACAUGUGACUGGACAUGUGCCACCCACACAAAGCAACUGAGCCUACUCCCUCCAGCCCAGGACUACAUGGGAGAAGACAGACUUUCCCUGGGCCAGUACAUAGGACAGAGGAUUUUCCAUACUGAAUCAGAUUACUGUCCAUCAAGAUUAGCAUCCUGCUGUGACAGUGGCCAGGGUUGCUUCAGAAGAAGACUAGAGGAAAACUAACAGGAGAUAUGGUGGAAAAGGAUCAGAGAGGGGCGAAAAACUUAAUCAAAGAGUAAAGUAGAAAAUGGAGCAGAGAUCAAGCAGAG